AUGCGGGUCCUUUUUUGGAACAUCCGCGGCUUCGGCCAUGAUGGCCGACGCCGCCAACUCAUCGAGUACGUGCGCGAUGAACACAUUGACAUCAUUGCCAUCCAGGAAACCAUGCGCACUGAGUUCUCCCUCCAUGAGCUUGACUGCCUUAGUUCCCACCUCUUCGCCUGGCAUUGGCUCCCUUCUAGUGGGAGCACGGGCCACUCUGGCGGCAUCCUUUUAGGGGUAAAGGAUGCCACCUUCGAGGUGAGCGGCAUGGACCGAGGUGAAUUCUUCGUUAGUAUGGAGAUCUUUGAGCGUGCUCUUAACUUCAAAUGGGAGGUUGUGAUUGUGUAUGGACCGGCGGAGCACCGCCGUUUCCCAACCUUCCUUGCGGAGCUUCAUCAAAAGAUCUCCAACUCCUUCCUCCCAGUAGUCGUGGGCGGAGACUUCAACCUCAUCCGUUCCCCGGAUGAGAAGAAUAAUGAUCGGAUUAACCUCCCCCGGAUGCAGUUGUUUAACGACUGGAUAGACGAGCUCUGUCUCCGUGAGCUCGAGCAGACGGGUGCCAGGUUCACCUGGACAAACCGUCAAGUUGACCCGACGCAAUCCGUUUUGGAUCGCGUCCUAGUUUCUCCGGAGUGGGAAUUAUGCUGCCCCCUGGCGUCUCUUCGGGCGAUUACCCGGAUUGCAUCUGACCACGUCCUAUCCUCCUCUCCACCGCGGACGAGCGCCCCCUACCCCGCCGCGGUUUCAGUUUGA
rnacentral:rRNA from 1 species